UUCCGGUUGAUCCUGCCGGAGGCGACCGCUUUUGGAGUUCGAUUAAGCCAUGCGAGUAGAAAGAAAUUAGAUUCUUUGCGAACUGCUCAGUAACACGUGGAUAACCUGCCCUAUGCUCCGGAAUAACCUCGGGAAACUGAGAAUAAUACCGGAUAGAUCACAACGCCUGGAACGGUGUGUGGUUGAAAGAUUACGGCAUAGGAUGGGUCUGCGGCGUAUCAGGUUGUAGGGGGUGUAAAGGACCUCCUAGCCAUCGACGCGUACGGGUGUUGGGAGACAUAGCCCGGAGAUGGAUUCUGGGACACGAAUCCAGACCCUACGGGGUGCAGCAGGCGCGAAAACUUCACACUGCAGGAAACUGUGAUGAGGGAACUCCAAGUGCACGCACUUAGUGUGUGCUUUUUUCAACUAUUAAUCGGUUGAAGAAUAAGGGCUGGGAAAGACCGGUGCCAGCCGCCGCGGUAAUACCGGCAGCUCAAGUGGUCGUCGCUUUUAUUGGGCCUAAAACCUCCGUAGCCUGUUUGGUAAAUCUGUGGGUAAAUCAACCAGCUUAACUGGUUGAAUUCUGCAGAGACUGCCAGACUAGGGACCGGGAGAGGUGUGGGGUACUCUAGGGGUAGGGGUAAAAUCCUGUCAUCCUUAGAGGACCACCAGUUGCGAAGGCGCCACACUGGAACGGAUCCGACGGUCAGGGACGAAGCCUAGGGGCACGAACCGGAUUAGAUACCCGGGUAGUCCUAGGUGUAAACGCUGUGAACUUGGUGUCGGGGAUCCGUCAUGGGUCCCCGGUGCCGGAGUGAAGAUGUUAAGUUCACUGCCUGGGGAGUACGGUCGCAAGGCUGAAACUUAAAGGAAUUGGCGGGGGAGCACUGCAACGGGAGGAGCGUGCGGUUUAAUUGGAUCAACGCCGGA
rnacentral:rRNA from 1 species